rnacentral:rRNA from 1 species
GAUGAACGCUGGCGGCGUGCCUAAUACAUGCAAGUCGAGCGAACAGACGCGGAGCUUGCUCCUCUGACUUUAGCGGCGGACGGGUGAGUAACACGUGGAUAACCUACCUAUCAGACUGGGAUAACUUCGGGAAACCGGAGCUAAUACCGGAUAAUAUAUUGAACCGCAUGGUUCAAUGGGGAAAGGCGGUUUUGCUGUCUCUUAUUGAUGGAUCCGCGCCGCAUUAGCUAGUUGGUAAGGUAACGGCUUACCAAGGCCACGAUGCGUAGCCGACCUGAGAGGGUGAUCGGCCACAUUGGAACUGAGACACGGCCCAGACUCCUACGGGAGGCAGCAGUAGGGAAUCUUCCGCAAUGGGCGAAAGCUUGACGGAGCAACGCCGCGUGAGUGAUGAAGGUCUUCGGAUCGUAAAACUCUGUUAUUAGGGAAGAACAAAUGUGUAAGUAACUAUGCACGUCUUGACGGUACCUAAUCAGAAAGCCACGGCUAACUACGUG